rnacentral:rRNA from 1 species
CCCCGCUCAUUAGAUCCCAUGAAAGGCGUUGGUUGAUAUAGACAGCAGGACGGUGGCCAUGGAAGUCGGAAGCCGCUAAGGAGUGUGUAACAACUCACCUGCCGAAUCAACUAGCCCUGAAAAUGGAUGGCGCUUGAGCGGGAGACUUAUACUCAACCGUUGCUUGGCUUGAGCUUAACAUUCAAAUAGCCACAUCUCGUAAGAGAUGAGCAUUGAUGCCUGGCCGCAACGAGUAAGAGGGUCGCAGUGGUUUGCGUUGAAGGCUUUGGGCGUAGGCCCAGCUGGAGCUUCCACUGGUGCAGAUCUUGGUGGUAGUAGCAAAUAUUCAAGUGGGAUCCUUGAAGACUGAAGUGGAGAAGGGUUCCACGUGAACAGCAGUUGAAUGUGGGUCAGUCGAUCCUAAGAUACUGGCUAAUGCCUUAUAUCAACGAGAAAAGGAGUUCAAAUCCAUCUCGUCAAUCGAAAGGGAAACGGGUUAAUAUUCCCGUACCUGGACACGGAGAUAAGCGCCCAUUGCGGGUGUUUAGUGCGGUAACGCAAACGAACUCGGAGACGUUGAAUAGAGCUCGAGCCAGAGUUCUCUUUUCUGGUUAAGGAACGGACUCCCUGGAAACGGUUCAACCGGAGAUAGGGACGUUGUUUCCGUAAAGCGCCACGGUUCCUGUGGUGUCUCGUGCGCUCUAUUCGACCCUUGAAAAUCCGAGGGAGGCUAUUUGAAUUUCGUGCCAGACCGUACCGAUAUCCGCAGCAGGUCUCCAAGGUGAACAGCCUCUAGUCGAUAGAAUAAUGUAGGUAAGGGAAGUCGGCAAAUUAGAUCCGUAACUUCGGGAAAAGGAUUGGCUCUAAGGACUGGGCCGGUCGGGCUUCAGUGUGAAGUGAGUACGGUUUGAUCCAUGCAGUGCGACGCCUGUUCACGCAGGUGAAGCUCGGCUAGCGUUCGAAUUGUCUUAUGGACCGCUGCAGCUAUGUGCCACAUCUUUAUAGGUGUCGGUGCUUCGGCCGGCGCUAAACAGUCAGCUUAGAACUGGCACGGACUCGGGGAAUCCGACUGUCUAAUUAAAACAGAGGAGACAGAUGGCCCUUGCGGGCGUUGACUGUCUCUGAUUUCUGCCCAGUGCUCUGAAUGUAAAAGUGAAGAAAUUCAACCAAGCGCGGGUAAACGGCGGGAGUAACUAUGACUCUCUUAAGGUAGCCAAAUGCCUAGUCGAUUGAUUGUCGACGCGCAUGAAUGGAUUAACGAGAUUCCCACUGUCCCUAUAUACUAUCUAGCGAAACCACAGCCAAGGGAACGGGCUUGGCGAACACAGCGGGGAAAGAAGACCCUGUUGAGCUUGACUCUAGUCCGACUCUGUGAAGAGUCAUGAGAGGUGUAGUAUAAGUGGGAGGUUUUGCCGACAGUGAAAUACCACUACUUUCAUCGAUUCUUUACUUACUCGGUAAGACGAGAAUUGAGCCUAUCGGCUCUUGAUUCUGGUAUUAAGUGCAGCCACUCGGUGGCCGUACGACUCGCGCCGAAGACAGUGUCAGGCGGGGAGUUUGACUGGGGCGGUACAUCUGUCAAAACGUAACGCAGGUGUCCUAAGGCUAGCUCAGAGAGGACGGAAACCUCUCGUAGAGUAAAAGGGCAAAAGCUCGCUUGAUCUUGAUUUCCAGUACGAAUACAGACCGCGAAAGCGAGGCCUAUCGAUCCUUUUGAAUUAGAAGGUCUCUAGCAAGAGGUGUCAGAAAAGUUACCACAGGGAUAACUGGCUUGUGGCAGCCAAGCGUCCACAGCUAUCUGA